GACGAACGCUGGCGGCGUGCUUAACACAUGCAAGUCGAACGGAAAGGCCCUGCUUUUUUGGGGUGCUCGAGUGGCGAACGGGUGAGUAACACGUGAGUAACCUGCCCUUGACUUUGGGAUAACUUCAGGAAACUGGGGCUAAUAACGGAUAGGAGCUCCUGCUGCAUGGUGGGGGUGGGAAAGUUUCGGCGGUUGGGGAUGGACUCGCGGCGUAUCAGCUUGUUGGUGGGGUAGUGGCUUACCAAGGCUUUGACGGGUAGCCGGCCUGAGAGGGUGACCGGCCACAUUGGGACUGAGAUACGGCCCAGACUCCUACGGGAGGCAGCAGUGGGGAAUAUUGCACAAUGGGCGGAAGCCUGAUGCAGCAACGCCGCGUGCGGGAUGACGGCCUUCGGGUUGUAAACCGCUUUCGCCUGUGACGAAGCGUGAGUGACGGUAAUGGGUAAAGAAGCACCGGCUAACUACGUG
rnacentral:rRNA from 1 species